GAUGAACGCUGGCGGCGUGCUUAACACAUGCAAGUCGAACGAAGCACUUUAUUUGAUUUCCUUCGGGACUGAUUAUUUUGUGACUGAGUGGCGGACGGGUGAGUAACGCGUGGGUAACCUGCCUUGUACAGGGGGAUAACAGUUGGAAACGGCUGCUAAUACCGCAUAAGCGCACGGCAUCGCAUGAUGCAGUGUGAAAAACUCCGGUGGUAUAAGAUGGACCCGCGUUGGAUUAGCUAGUUGGUGAGGUAACGGCCCACCAAGGCGACGAUCCAUAGCCGACCUGAGAGGGUGACCAGCCACAUUGGGACUGAGACACGGCCCAAACUCCUACGGGAGGCAGCAGUGGGGAAUAUUGCACAAUGGGCGAAAGCCUGAUGCAGCGACGCCGCGUGAGCGAAGAAGUAUUUCGGUAUGUAAAGCUCUAUCAGCAGGGAAGAUCAUGACGGUACCUGACUAAGAAGCACCGGCUA
rnacentral:rRNA from 1 species